ACAUCAAUGCAAAGGUGAACCGAGACAAUAAAAAUAAGAUCGAGUUCGUUCAGCUAACAUAAAGGCAUUCCAGUCGAGCGAUGAAUGAAUCAGGGCAUCAUUCUCAAGCACAGGCAAGUAGUUUUGUUUGCUCGUGUGUGCUUGUAAUGAAAAAGUGCGUCUGGUCUCAGGUGCACACCUGUUGAGGCGCCGAGGCCGUGGGAUACCGAUCAUUCAGCAGCCUAUCGCCGUCCACUGCUGAACAUAGGCCUCUCCAAUAGAUUUCCAGUGCGACCGGUCCAUUGCCACCUGCAUCCAACGAGGCCCAGCGCUUUUUACUAGGUCGUCGGUCCACACACUCAUCACUUUUAAUUAUUAUUCUCAUAAUCCUCUGGCAGGUCUGCUGGAAGAGAUCUCUUAAAGAAAUAAGCAGUGCCUUUGUACAUAAUUUUCCUAUUACUCUGUACUAUGUCUUCUUUUCUGUGUGUACAUAAAUAAAUAGAAAUAUGUACAUUCAAAUUGAUUGAGAUUUAAUAUUAUCACUAGCACAGGUAAACGCGCCAAUGAAUAGAGAAAAGCCACACUAAUUAUUUAAUUGUAUGAUACAACAUUUAAUUAAAAAUUAUCCUAACAAAUUCUAUAUUUCCAUAAUGGUUCGUUACAAUAUAGUAAGCAAGAUAACGGUAUUUAUUGAUUUGAAAGAAUAAUUUCAAUACAGUUCAUAAUACGUAUAACUUGUGUUUACAAACUUCUACUCAAUUAAUUUAUUUCAGACCCACCUAGCCUGUCUUUUUACUGAAUGACGGUAGGGCGCUACAGAUGCUUCCACAGGUCUUUACUAACGUGAAAUUCGGUCGGCGUAGCUUAUUUGUACCGUGAAAUAAUCAUGCGAUCAGAGUUGAAUAACUAAUGUUAAUAUUAAGAAAUGCUAUUAAAAAAAGACAAAGACUUAAACCUAUGUCUCUAGAUGGACGACACUAUUUCUGUUGUAGUCAUAACGUUAUACCAUACGGAGCUUACACGUUACACUUCAUUUUUGUUAGCACAUUUAAUUACCUUUCUCGAAGUUUCGUCAGACGCUUUGCCUAUAUGAAUGGGCAACACUGUACAUCGCGAAAUUGAAGGUCCGUGCCCGGAAGUGGCAGUGAAAAGCUAGCCUCUAAAAUGUUUCUCAGGGUUUAAACUAAUUUCAUUGCGAAUCUCAUGUGAUGUAUGAAACAUUCCUUAUAAUCUAUGUUAACCUACCUAAUGUAAUCGUAAGUGUAAUCCUAUAUAAACUAAGUGUGUAGUCAAAUAAAUCGGAGUAUUAUUCGGA